rnacentral:rRNA from 1 species
UACGUAGGGUGCAAGCGUUGUCCGGAAUUAUUGGGCGUAAAGAGCUCGUAGGCGGUUUGUCGCGUCGAAUGUGAAAACCCGGGGCUCAACCCCGGGCCUGCAGCCGAUACGGGCAGACUAGAGUUCGGCAGGGGAGACUGGAAUUCCUGGUGUAGCGGUGAAAUGCGCAGAUAUCAGGAGGAACACCUGUGGUGUAGACGGCUUUCUGGACCAUUGCUGACGCUGAGACACGAAAGCGUGGGUAGCAAACAGG